ensembl:lncRNA
CAACAACAGCCCUGGCAAAAGGUUCAGGUGAAUGCAUUUUCUCUGAAUCUUCUGCAACUUGUUUUGGCGCUACAGGACAGCCGGUAAUUUUUCAUCUGUCAUAUAAACGUGGUACUUCGAUUGUAACCACGAAGGAUGACAAACACAGGAUUUUGAAAAUAAGCAAUCAAGGGAAAGUUACAUUAGAUAAGGAAUAUGUAAAUCAGUCAGACAGCAUAGACACUGUAAUACUCAAAGUAGGUGAAGCCUCGAAGAAACAUUCUGGACAUUACCAGUUGGAAGAACAUGAUCAUGAUGGAAAGUUACUGAAAAAAAUUAAUGUAUAUCUAAAAAUACAAGCUCGAGUGUCAAAGCCAGGACUGUCUCAGAAAUGCUUGUCAUCAGAACAGAUGGAGGUCAGCUGCUUCUCUGAAGGAGAUGGAGUACAAUUUAUUUUGACUUUGGAUGGUCAGAUACUUACACAAAGCAACAAUCACAACCAGUCUCUAAACAU